GGGGGGGGGGGGGGGGGGGGGGGGGGGGUGGGGGGCGGGGGGGGGGGGGGGGGGUGGUGCUGGGUUGAGGGGCGGAGGGGGGGGGGAUGCCGAGGAAUCUGCCUGGUAGGGGGGGAUGAGGUCCGGAGACGGGCGCUAAUACCGCAUACGUCCUGAGGGAGAAAGUGGGGGAUCUUCGGACCUCGCGCUGUCAGGUGAGCCGAGGGCGGCUUAGCUAGUUGGUGGGGUAAAGGCCUACCAAGGCGACGAUCCGUAACUGGUCUGAGAGGAAGAUCAGUCAAACUGGAACUGAGACACGGUCCAGACUCCUACGGGAGGCAGCAGUGGGGAAUAUUGGACAAUGGGCGAAAGCCUGAUCCAGCCAUGCCGCGUGUGUGAAGAAGGUCUUCGGAUUGUAAAGCACUUUAAGUUGGGAGGAAGGGCAGUAAGUUAAUACCUUGCUGUUUUGACGUUACCAACAGAAUAAGCACCGGCUAACUUCGUG
rnacentral:rRNA from 1 species